rnacentral:misc_RNA from 1 species
AAGACUAUAGACCUGCGGAGUACCUGCGGAGGGAUCAUUACCGAGUGAGGGCGCCCGCGCCCGACCUCCAACCCUUUUGUUUGACCGACCACGUUGCCUCGGGGGUGACCCGGCCUUUCGCGUCGGGGCCCCCGGUGGACCAAUUCUCCAACUCUGCAUUGAUGCGUCGGAGUCACAAGUAAAUUGAAUCAAAACUUUCAACAAUGGAUCUCU